AGUGGCAACACUGAGGACGACCUAGUGGCGAACGGGUGAGUAACACGUGAGGAACUUGCCCCGGAGACCGGGAUAAGCCCCCGAAAGGGGGUCUAAUACCGGAUGUCCUCAUCGAAUCGCAUGGUUUGAUGAGGAAAUGGAUUCCGCUCCGGGAGAGCCUCGCGGCCUAUCAGCUAGUUGGUGGGGUAACGGCCCACCAAGGCAUCGACGGGUAGCUGGUCUGAGAGGACGAUCAGCCACACUGGGACUGAGACACGGCCCAGACUCCUACGGGAGGCAGCAGUGGGGAAUCUUGCGCAAUGGGCGAAAGCCUGACGCAGCAACGCCGCGUGCGGGAUGACGGCCUUCGGGUUGUAAACCGCUUUCAGUGGGGACGAACCAAGACGGUACCCACAGAAGAAGCCCCGGCCAACUACGUGCCAGCAGCCGCGGUAACACGUAGGGGGCAAGCGUUGUCCGGAUUCAUUGGGCGUAAAGAGCUCGUAGGCGGUUCGAUAAGUCGGGUGUGAAACCUCCAGGCUCAACCUGGAGACGCCACCCGAUACUGUCGUGACUAGAGUCCAGUAGGGGAGCGUGGAAUUCCUGGUGUAGCGGUGAAAUGCGUAGAUAUCCGGAGGAAC
rnacentral:rRNA from 1 species